GUCUACGGCCAUGCCACCCUGAACAAGCCCGAUCCCAUCUGAUCUUGGAAGCUAAGCAGGGUCGGGCCUAGUUAGUACUUAAAUGGGAGACCACCUAGGAAGACCAGGUGCUGUAGACA
rnacentral:rRNA from 1 species